rnacentral:rRNA from 1 species
AACGAACGCUGGCGGCAUGCCUAACACAUGCCAGUCGAACGAGACCUUCGGGUCUAGUGGCGCACGGGUGCGUAACGCGUGGGAACCUGCCCUUAGGUUCGGAAUAACUCCCCGAAAGGGGUGCUAAUACCGGAUAAUGUCUUCGGACCAAAGAUUUAUCGCCUUUGGAUGGGCCCGCGUUGGAUUAGCUAGUUGGUAGGGUAAAAGCCUACCAAGGCGACGAUCCAUAGCUGGUCUGAGAGGAUGAUCAGCCACACUGGGACUGAGACACGGCCCAGACUCCUACGGGAGGCAGCAGUGGGAAUAUUGGACAAUGGGCGAAAGCCUGAUCCAGCAAUGCCGCGUGAGUGAUGAAGGCCUUAGGGUUGUAAAGCUCUUUUACCCGGGAUGAUAAUGACAGUACCGGGAGAAUAAGCUCCGGCUAACUCCGUG